UGCGUAGGCGGAUUAAUAAGUCAGUGGUGAAAACCUGCAGCUUAACUGUAGAACUGCCAUUGAUGCUGUUAGUCUUGAGUACGGUCAAGGUAGGCGGAAUGUGUAAUGUAGCGGUGAAAUGCUUAGAUAUUACACAGAACACCGAUUGCGAAGGCAGCUUACUGGGCCAUUACUGACGCUGAGGCACGAAAGCGUGGGUAGCGAACAGGAUUAGAUACCCUGGUAGUCC
rnacentral:rRNA from 1 species